rnacentral:rRNA from 1 species
AGAGUUCGAUUUGGCUCAGGAUGAACGCUAGCUACAGGCUUAACACAUGCAAGUCGAGGGGAAACGAUAUUGGAAGCUUGCUUCCGAUAGGCGUCGACCGGCGCACGGGUGAGUAACGCGUAUCCAGCCUGCCCAUCACUUGGGAAUAACCUUGCGAAAGUAAGACUAAUGCCCAAUGACAUUUAUAGAAGGCAUCGGAAAUGAAUUAAAGAUUUAUCGGUGAUGGAUGGGGAUGCGUCUGAUUAGCUUGUAGGCGGGGUAACGGCCCACCUAGUCUUCGAUGGAUAGGGGUUCUGAGAGGAAGGUCCCCCACAUUGGAACUGAGACACGGUCCAA